rnacentral:sRNA from 1 species
GUCCAUCUCCCCUCCUCACCACCAAGUCUGGUACAUUAUGGCUUUAUAGUCAGUACCAUAGCUGCUUCCUAAAUCUUAAGCCUUUAAGGAAAUGCAAAGUAGUUCCUGUCCACAAGCAAUCUGGUGACCCUGGGACCACUUCUAGUUUCUUUCUACAGUCUAAGAUAAUCCAAAAUAUAGUAACUACUUUUAAUGUUUUCUUCUGCCACACAGGUCAGCUGAAAGAACACUUUGCACAGUUCGGCCAUGUCAGAAGGUGCAUGUUACCUUUUGACAAGGAGACUGGCUUUCACAGAGGUUUGGCUUGGAUUCAGUUUUCUUCAGAAGAAGGACUUCAGAAUGCCCUACAACGGGAAAAUCAUAUUAUAGAUGGAGUAAAGGUCCAGGUUUGCACUCAAAGGCCAAAACUUUUGCAAACAUCUGAUGAUGAAAAGAAAGAUCUUUGAGACUGCAGCCUAUUAAUAAAGUU